GACGGAGGAUGCAAGUGUUAUCCGGAAUCACUGGGCGUAAAGCGUCUGUAGGUGGUUCGAAAAGUCCACUGUUAAAAAUUGAGGCUUAACUUCAAAGAUGCCGUGGAAACUUUCAAACUAGAGUAUGGUAGGGGUAGAGGGAAUUUCCAGUGGAGCGGUGAAAUGUGUAGAUAUUGGAAAGACCACCGAUGGCGAAGGCACUCUACUGGGCCAUGACUGACACUGAGAGACGAAAGCUAGGGGAGCAAACAGG
rnacentral:rRNA from 1 species